UACGUAGGGGGCAAGCGUUGUCCGGAAUCAUUGGGCGUAAAGCGCGUGUAGGCGGCCAGAAAAGUCCGCUGUGAAAACUCGAGGCUCAACCUCGAGCUGUCGGUGGAAACUUUCUGGCUAGAGUCCGGAAGAGGCGAGUGGAACUCCUGGUGUAGCGGUGGAAUGCGCAGAUAUCAGGAAGAACACCAACGGCGAAGGCAGCUCGCUAGGACGGUACUGACGCUGAGACGCGAAAGCGUGGGGAGCGAACAGG
rnacentral:rRNA from 1 species